rnacentral:lncRNA from 1 species
GAGAAAGUCACAGACCAGAAGACCAGAUGAAUACAGUUGUGCUGUUGAAACACCUUUAGAAUGAUGGAACACAACAUGAUGUUGGAAAAUAAACCGAUCGAGGAUGACUGCCAUCUAAAAUGCAAGCGAUACCUCAUCAGUUUGUUUGGUGAAUCAACUGCAGAGUAUUUCUUCAGCCCUUCCUCUUGCUCAAAAGAAAUACCCUCUUGGUUUUUCCAGCUAAAAGAUGACAUGAAAGGUAUUUUUUGU